GGAAGAUUAAUGUUGUGGCUCAGUUGUGUGAUCUACCCUCUACAACUCACGACUACAACUCCUUUAUUGUGGAUGUGGAUCACUCCUCUGCAAACCUCAGAAGUUUUGUCGUAGAAGGAGUGUUCAAAGAGACUGAAAGCAAGUCGGAUAGACCUCCCAUUAGAGCAUUUU